rnacentral:rRNA from 1 species
AGGAUGAACGCUGGCGGCGUGCCUAAUACAUGCAAGUCGAGCGGUAAGGCCUCUUCGGAGGUACACGAGCGGCGGACGGCUGAGUAACACGUAGGAACGUACCCCAAAGUGAGGGAUAAGCACCAGAAAAUGGUGUCUAAUACCGCAUGUGCUCUAAGGAGUAAAGCUUCGGCGCUUUGGGAACGGCCUGCGCAUGAUUAGCUUGUUGGUGAGGUAAAAGCUCACCAAGGCGACGAUCAUUAGCUGGUCUGAGAGGAUGAUCAGCCAGACUGGGACUGAGAACGGCCCAGACUCCUACGGGAGGCAGCAGUAGGGAAUUUUCCACAAUGGGCGAAAGCCUGAUGGAGCAACGCCGCGUGCAGGAUGAAGGCCUUCGGGUUGUAAACUGCUUUUAUCUGUGACGAUUAUGACGGUAGCAGAUGAAUAAGGAUCGGCUAACUCCGCGCCAGCAGCCGC